UCUUACCUCCAUACCAGCCAAAGAACGGCCGGUCUCGUCUGAUCUCGGAAGCUAAGAAGGCUUGGGCCUGGUUAGUACUUGGAUGGGAGACUUCCUGGAAAAACCAGGUGCUGUAAGCU
ensembl:rRNA 5S_rRNA 5S ribosomal RNA